UACGUAGGGUGCAAGCGUUAAUCGGAAUUACUGGGCGUAAAGCGUGCGCAGGCGGUUAUGUAAGACAGGUGUGAAAUCCCCGGGCUAACCUGGGAACUGCAUUUGUGACUGCAUAGCUAGAGUACGGUAGAGGGGGAUGGAAUUCCGCGUGUAGCAGUGAAAUGCGUAGAUAUGACGGAGGAACACCGAUGGCGAAGGCAAUCCCCUGGGCCUGCACUGACGCUCAUGCACGAAAGCGUGGGGAGCAAACAGG
rnacentral:rRNA from 1 species